rnacentral:lncRNA from 1 species
UUUUAAUUAUAUCUGUAGUAGUCUUUUGGAUGCCAUCUAUGAUAGCCACUUUUUUAUCUGCUAAUGGUUCUAAAAGACUAUAUUCUUUUAUAAAUGUGUAUCUGUGCAAUUUGCUUUCAGAUUCUGCACACAGAUAUAGUUCAGGUAGCUCUACGCUUUGAACCUGUCCCCCAGAGUUCACAUGCUGGAAACUCAAUCCCCAGUGCAACAGUGUUGAGAAGUGGGAUAUUUAAGAGGUGACUAGGUUAUGAGGGCUCUGCCCUCAUGAAAAGAUUAAUGUCUUUAUUGUGGGAGUGGGUUGGUUAUCAUGGGAGUAGGUUCCUAAUAAAAGGAUGAGUUUGGUGUGUUUUUCCCCCCAACCCCUUUCCCCUUUUCUUUCUCUCUUCCCCUCCACCUUCUGCCAUAGGAUGACAUUGCAGGAAGGCCCUCACCAGAUGUCAGCAACUUGAUCUUGGACCUUCGAGCCUCCAGAAGUCAGGAAGUAAAUUCCUGUUCUUUAUACUUAGGCCUUAACGAAGAGGUCAGAGAGGCUUUAUCCUAGUACAAGAAGAAUACACCUAAGCUGAGAAUAGAGCCAGGAUUUUAACAAGAUCUGCAACAGUGAUUCCCUACCAGAAGAUUUGUCUAAUCUGAAAAAUUAUUUUGAGCUAAGAUGUUCCUAGCUGCUAUCUGGAAAGGAUGACAUUUAAUUAUAUUUAAUGUAAAGAAGCCUUUCAGUGCUUUAACUAGAGGUCUCACUAUGUUUCCCAGGCUUGUCUCAAACUCCUGGGCUCAAGUGAUCUUUCCACCUUAGCUUCCCAAAGUGCUAGGAUUAUAAGCAUGAGCCACUGUGCCUGGCUCAACCUGUAUUUUGAUUCAUUCAUCUUUCAUUGAGCAUUUACUAAAUAGCAGCUAUAUGCUAGGCACUAUACUAAAUGUUAGGAAUCCAAAGGUUAGACACUUACAUUACUUCUCUUCAAGAAGCAGGAGAGUGAGCACUUACAAUAGUGUAAUAAUUACCAUACUAGAGAUACACUGUGAACUACAAAGAGGAUAGCUAUCCCUGAGGUGCGCCUGCAAAAGUAUCACAGAGUAGGCUUGCUUGAGCUGAGAAGGUCAGGUGGGAGCUGAAAGGGGGUGACAUUUUAGGCAAAGAAACAGUGAAAAAAAAUAGCAUCAGAGAAUAACAUUCUAAGAAUAGCAACUGCUCUGAGUUUGAUUCUGAUAAGGAGUCGUCUGUGGGAGGGAAAAUCAGCAAUGUGUGUUUUAAUAAACGAUCCAGCUGAUUCUGAUGCACAAUAAGGUUAGAAACCACCAAGCUAGGAUUUAGACAGGAGGUGAUGACAGCAAGGACAUCAGUUUCAGGAAAAAAUAUUUUACCCAGCAUAUACACUGACUAUCCACUGUCAUUUCCUAUUCCUUUUCAUUCCUCUAUUUACUCUGACCUGCAUGUUGUCAUGCUUCCUGCUUCCAGCUAAUUAUUAUCCUUCAAACACACUCCUCUCCUUGGAUGGUUCCUAUUCACUAUAUUCCUCUCAGACCCCAAAUCCUAUUAUCCUCUCCAUUCACUUUUACUUGAUUUUACUUGCCACCUAUGUUUCAGGCCCCUGCAUGUUUCUCCCAAACUUUUACCUCCCUCCCCAUCUCUGUUCUCCAGUCUCUCUAAUUAUCCUUGGCAUAUCUAUAGUCCCCUCAUUUAUCCUUCUUCCCUUACACAGUAUUGCUAACUUAUCUCUUGAGCUCUAUUUUUGCCUUUUCUUCUCUUAAUCUACUCUCAAACAACUUGUUCUGCUGGUAUCUUCCUUAAUUCUUAAUUUCUUCCUUACAUUGUGACUCUGUGCUAUGAUGAUACCAAAAAUAAGAUGGUACCAAAUAUUUGAUAUGUGUGUUGUAUGUGACUUCUCAUUAUUUUAUAACACAUUUAUAACAUUUACAUGUUCUUUCUUCCAUAGGCUGUUUGCUUCUCAAACAUAGAAUAGGACCCGUUUGUGUACUGUUUGUUUGUUACAGGUGAUAAAACUAGGACUAAGAAUGAAGAGUUGUUCCAGAAGGAAGAUAUGCCCAAAGACAAGGAAUUCCUUGGGGAGAUAAAUGACAGACUGAACAAAGAUACUCCUCAGCAUCCUAAGUCCAAAGAUAUUAUUGAAAAUGAGGGCAGAUCAGAAUGGCAACAGAGGGAAAGAAGACGAUAUAAAUGUGAUGAAUGUGGGAAAAGUUUCAGUCAUAGCUCAGACCUUAGUAAACACAGGAGAACUCACACGGGAGAGAAGCCCUAUAAAUGUGAUGAGUGUGGAAAAGCCUUCAUUCAGCGCUCACAUCUCAUUGGACAUCAUAGAGUACACACGGGAGUAAAACCCUAUAAAUGUAAAGAAUGUGGGAAAGACUUCAGUGGGCGCACAGGUCUUAUUCAGCAUCAGAGAAUCCACACAGGUGAAAAACCCUAUGAAUGUGAUGAGUGUGGAAGGCCUUUCCGAGUAAGUUCAGCUCUUAUUAGACAUCAAAGAAUUCAUACCGCAAAUAAACUCUACUAAUAUAGUAGUAAUAUCAAAAGUUCUUUAGACACUCAGGCCUAACUAGUUAUCAAAGAAUCUAUUUUAGAAACCUUGAGUUUCCUCAAUGUGGUCAAAGCUUCAGUCAUCAUUAAACUUCUCUGGACCAAAGAAUCUACCUGAGUAAAAUAUCCUUUUAUUUCAAAUUAGUUCAGUUUUGAGGGGGAAUCAAGAAUUCUUUCAGAAAGCCUUGUCCACUGACAACACUGCUCACCUGCAGCCCAAGAUCAAUGGUUCCUGGAUGAAAGACAGUGAAUUAAUUCUGUCUCUGCUCCAGGUCCUUUUUAGUUGACCAUUCAGUGUCUGACUUUAGGCAAGACAAGACAUACACAUUUUUCUCUGCCUUCAUUUCCCCUUCUGUAAAGUACAGAUGAUAAUAGAGGCUUACCAGGUAUGUUUUGACAAGUUAAAACUGAUGAAAACUACUUUUGAGAUUAAGAUAUAAAACAAUGCUAAUUAUUUGUUUUCCAUCAUUACUCAUAUAAUAGCCUCAACAUCCCUUUUUUAUCUUAAAAUGGGGAGUAUGAUUAUUUUUUGGAAAUUUUUGUUUGCCAAUGAUAAAGAAUAAGCCAUCAGAAGACAGGAGGCCAGCCUGGUCAACACAGCGAGACCCCACCUCUACAGAAACUUAAGAAAAAUU